GACACUCGGUCAUACGCGCAAACGAGAUUACUUAUCACGUUGGAUUAUUUUUGGAGCAAUGAAUUCAUCGGGCGAUGCAUUGUAGUUGUCAGCAAAGCCAAAAGGUAUACUCGAUGAUGAAACAUUAAAUUUGAUUUCUAACAAUGGCCUAAAAUAUAGGCAUCAUCCUGGUAGUGUCAAACCUAGAACACCAAUAUUCUCAGCAUGGGCAUCAAAAAAAAUAGAAAAUAUCGUGAAAGUUUUCAGAAAAAAAAUAACAUAAGCUUGAAAGAAUUGAAAAAAAGUGUAAAAAAAUUAUUUCACCAUUUGCAUGGUCGCCAUUCGCUGCUGGAGUAGUCACAACUGCCAGAAAAAUUACAAAAAGUAGAAGAAUGUUUGAAUGCUAAUCGUAAUCAGAAAAUAUCUAUAGAAGACAUAGAUUUCGUAUGGAUAGAAGAGCAAGGCAAAUUUUGAAGACCAAUGUAUACAAUUAAUUUUGAUAAGCUCACUUACGUAUCUGCUUGGUAGAGAAGUUUAAAAUUAUGCGGUUAUAUAUAUAGGAUUCUGGAUGAGAUCAGAACACGUGACAAAGAAUUCAACCCUAGAAGACAAUUUGACUUUGGCUCUGGUCUUGGUACGGUCAUGUGGUAAAUGUCAAAAUAUCAUGUAAACUUCAAAAAUACUAAUCUACUAUAUAAUUAUUAUGUAAACUUGGUUAGCAUAUCUAAGAAAUAAAAUAAUAAACAUUUUGAUAAGAUUGCUUCCGAAAUUUGGCCACACUCGCUACAGGAAUAUUUUUGUGUCAAAGUAUCAAAAUCAAUUAUUGAAAUGUCGGAAAGAUUAGCAAAAGUUGUCACGCCCGAAAGUAAAGACAUUUUUUAUUGCCACUAUUUUUCUGUCGCCGCAAAUGUAAGAGCAAUAUGAAAUAUUUUAUAUAUACACUAAAAUUAUUUUUGUUUUCUUAUAAUUUGAAAGUUUUGUUUCUCUUUUAGCUCACUUACAAUAUUGU